CCCCAUACGUGCUUACUUGGUAUUGGUCGUCUCUCUCUUCCUCGAUGCUCUUUUUUUCCUCAAAAAUCUCGUCGUCGUUCUUUGUUGUUGCUCUCCUCCUGCAAAUCCGUCCAUGAAAUCAAGUGAAGUAAGCGAUACAGAUGACUAUGAUUCAGAUUCCAGCAUCUGCACAAUUAUGUAGUCCUCAACCAACCACCAUUAACAUGGAGUUUUAACAAUGAGCUCGUCCUUUGUGUCUAGCUUCUUUUUAAGCAAUCAAUUCUUUUGUGAUCAAGUCUUCUGUCACAUUUCAUUAAUAGGAGUGAGAGUAUAUAUAUAAUAGAUUACUUAUGUAUUGUCCAAUAGAGGCUGAAGAUCUUUGCGAAUGCUGUUUGAUUUGAUGACAGGUUUUUGACAGUAAACUAUGUAUGUAUUUACUGCAACACACACAAGCUAAUUCAAUUGUAAGCAUGUGCAGCCAUUUUAUUCCUUCU